rnacentral:rRNA from 1 species
UACGGGAGGGGGCUAGCGUUGUUCGGAAUUACUGGGCGUAAAGCGCACGUAGGCGGCUUUGUAAGUUAGAGGUGAAAGCCCGGAGCUCAACUCCGGAACUGCCUUUAAGACUGCAUCGCUUGAACUCGGAGAGGUAAGUGGAAUUCCGAGUGUAGAGGUGAAAUUCGUAAGAUAUUCGGAAGAACACAGUGGCGAAAGCGACUUACUGGACGACUGUUACGUGAGGUGCGAAA